rnacentral:rRNA from 5 species
CAUUGGAACCACCUGAUCCCAUCCCGAACUCAGCAGUGAAACGAUGUAUCGCCGAUGGUAGUGUGGGGUUUCCCCAUGUGAGAGUAGGUC